GAUGAACGCUGGCGGCGUGCCUUAUACAUGCAAGUCGAGCGCACGUACCUGAAGCUCUCUUCUCUGAUGUUAGCGGCGGACGGGUGAGUAACACGUGGCUUACCUUCCUAUCAGACUUGGCUUCCUUCGGGUGACCGUAGUUACUACCGGCUCAUCUUUUUCACCUCAUGGUUCAACCGUGAAAGACGGUCUUGCUGUCACUUUUAGAUGGAUUCGCGCUGCAUUAGCUAGUUGGUCAGGUAACGGCGUACCAAGGUAACGAUGCAUAGCCGACCUGAGAGGGUGAUCAGCCACACGGGAACGGAGACACGGUUCAGACUCCAAAGGGAGGCAGCAGUAGGGAAUCUUCCGCAAUGGGCGAAAGCCUGACGAAGCAAGGACGCGUGAGUGAUGAAGGUCUUCGGAGCGUAAAACGCUGUUAGUAGGGAAGAACAUAUGUGUAAGGAACAGUGCACAACGUGAAGGUACCUAAGCAGAAAGCCACGGCUAACUACGUG
rnacentral:rRNA from 1 species